rnacentral:lncRNA from 1 species
GGGGGAGGGAGAGGGGGGGAAAGAGGGGGAGGGAGAGAGAGAGGGGGGGGGAAAGAGGGAGGGGGGAGAGAAGGGGAGGGGGAAAGAGGGAGAGGGGGAAAGAGGGAGGGGGGGGAAAGAGGGAGAGAGAGGGAGAGAGAAGGGGAGGGAGGGAGAGAGGGGGAGAGUUCCUGGUGUGGUGGGUGUGAGGGGGGAUGUGGUGGUUGGCUUGGCUUCUGUCGCUGGCUAGGACCUUGCCAUCUGAGAGCGUGGGCAGCAUAUCUGUGACAGGGGCCGAGGAGCAUAAUGGCUGUUACAGCCAUGCUUCAGGGUAUGGUUUCUGUUCUGGGGAAUGAACAUCAAAUUCUUUUGGUUUAUAAAUGAUAUUUGUGUAUUUCUAGACUAUAAUCAGUUUGUUUGGUUCAGGUCCUGUGGGUUUACUCUCUCUUCUAAUCUGUCUGAUCUAAUCUAUUGUUUUGUUGCUGUGAUCCUGGAUGAUUUGUUUUUUUGCCAUGCUUGCCCCGUAAUGGUGUUGUUGACCCCUCCGUGGCGGCUCAGUCACCUCCCAGUUUCCUCCAUGUCUGUGUUCCUGUAGAGGCACCUUCCUCCGCAACCUGGUCGCCACCCAGUGGGAGAAGACGAGUAGGAGCCAACACGAGAAGCUCCUGGAUAAACUGUCCCAGGAUGACCCCAUAGUCACGUCCCCCAGGGCAGAGGAGGAGACCUCAUCUGCAGACAGCAGCCCCAGUACACCCACUGAAGCCCCAUUCCAGGCCAGCGGUUCAGAAACAGAGCCCCAGCCGGAGCUCCACGCAGGGGAGCAGGUCUCAGGAGAGACUGGCCCCAUCCAGAGCACCCUGGAGCAGCCUCACCCAGCAGACACCCAGGCGACCCAUAAUGAUCCAGGUGUCAGUGUCCAACAGAACACCCUCUCCAAUGAGAAGAAGUUCAUGCUGAACAUGCUUUACGCCAAGAACUCCUCAGCCGGUCCCCUGAAGAGCCCGUCAGGCACCGACCCUGACCCCGAGGAGAGCCACUCCGGAGAGCCAGAGGAUCACAGAGGGCUGGGCAGGGCUGGUAGCAGUGUGAAGGAGCGUCUAUCUAACCUCAAGGUAGGAAUUAAUUAGUUUCUGGGGGGUUUUUUCAAUCAAAUGUUCUGACUUUAUUGAACAGAUAGAGGAUGACAGUGGGGAUUUGUUCUGACUUUAUUGAACAGAUAGACAGGAAAACAGUGGGGAUCUGUUCUGACUUUAUUGAACAGAGAGAGGAUGACAGUGAGGAUCUGUUCUGACUUUAUUGAACAGAUGAAGACAGGAUGACAGUGGGGAUCUG